CUUAGUUCGUGGAGUGAUCUGUCUGCUUAAUUGCGUUUCAAAAUUUAACUUGAGGACCGGGUUUUGGUUUGGCUAGUGGUUCUACGAUGACUGUGAACUGUCAUGUCUUCGGAUGUGCGACUAUUGGUCUAGGAUCACAUGACUUGCCCCUGGGACUCUUUUGAACGCAACGGACGUGAUUGCAACCCCUUGUUGAGAUUAGAGAUAGUCUCGAUAUUCACUGGACAAACUGGCUGCUUUAUGCAGUCUUGUUGAAUGGUGGAUAAACUCGGGGGACUGCUGACUAUAACCAUUUCUCAAAACAGAGGAAGGUUGCGGCAAUAACAGGUCUGUGAUGCCCUCAGAUGUCCCGGGCUGCACACGUGCUACAAUGAGUGGCGCAAUGUGCUAAUGUUUAAGGGAUAAGAGUGUGGUCAGUAGAACGUCGGGAUUUCCCCUGACGUCUCCCCCGCACGAUUAUCAGCCUUCCCUUAACAGGGCGGGCAACCUUUUCAAAAUACUGGUUUGAUGUUAAAGUAUUGAGUCGUUUUUUUGGAUGGUGGUUU
rnacentral:rRNA from 1 species